rnacentral:rRNA from 1 species
ACGACGCUGGCGGCGUGCCUAAUACAUGCAAGUCGAACGGUCUUUUCUAUGGAAGCUUGCUUCCACUGAGAAGAUAGUGGCGGACGGGUGAGUAACACGUGGGUAACCUGCCCAUAAGAGGGGGAUAACAUCCGGAAACGGGUGCUAAUACCGCAUAGUUUUCUUGAUCGCAUGAUUGAGAAAGGAAAGACGGCCUUUGUGCUGUCGCUUAUGGAUGGACCCGCGGCGUAUUAGUUAGUUGGUGAGGUAAUGGCUCACCAAGACGAUGAUACGUAGCCGACCUGAGAGGGUGAUCGGCCACAUUGGGACUGAGACACGGCCCAAACUCCUACGGGAGGCAGCAGUAGGGAAUCUUCCGCAAUGGACGAAAGUCUGACGGAGCAACGCCGCGUGAGUGAAGAAGGUUUUCGGAUCGUAAAACUCUGUUGUCAGAGAAGAACAAGUCGGAGAGUAACUGCUCCGGCCUUGACGGUAUCUGACCAGAAAGCCACGGCUAACUACGUG